GGUUAGGCAAUAUCCGUUUCGUAUCGGAGCUUCCAAGGUGGAUGCCAACCGUUCUAGAAAGUAGUGCGGUACUCGCAUAACGAGAGUGAGAGCGUGACAUUCAAUAUGUGGGCUAUUACUAUAGUGUUCGUAAUCACGUUUUGUUUGGUGAAAAUAACGUUGUUUAUUAGCAGGAAAGUCUUGAGAUACCUUCAAGAGGAUACGUAGGAUUAAGAAUUGAGAACGUGAGAUCAGAAAGGAUUGUCGAGGAAAUAAUAUAAGAUACGAAUGCGAUUUGCGUGAGGCUUGGGUGGCAGUUCAAUGGUCCAGUUAAGCUGCAACUGAUCCUAAUUACUAAUUGUUGUCUUUUUAGCAUAUCUGUACAUAAGAUAUCAUAGGAUAAGAAGAAGUUUAAGUUUAUCUUAGAAUGGUAGAGCAGGCUUAGAUUAUCCUUUGGAUAAUUUUACUUAGAAUUAAUUUGUUUAGAGUAAGUUUGAUGGGGUGUGAUUUUUUAAAAUUAAAAAUAACUUUGUGAAAAACAA
rnacentral:lncRNA from 1 species